rnacentral:tRNA from 1 species
GCCCCAGUGGCCUAAUGGAUAAGGCACUGGCCUCCUAAGCCAGGGAUUCAGGGUUUCAGUCCCCUGUG